CCUGCAGACUAUGAAGACAGGCAGGGAGAGAUGUGGGGAGCUCUGCUUCAGCUGUGGGCACAGGAGGCAGGACUCAGGGAUGACCUCCACCAUGGCCUGGGCCCCUCUCCUCCUCACCCUCCUGGCUCACUGCACAGGAUCCUGGGCCCAGUCUGUGCUGACUCAGCCGGCCUCAGUGUCGGGGUCCCCAGGCCAGAGGGUCACCAUCUCCUGCACUGGAACCAGCACCAACAUUGGGGAUGGUUAUAGUGUGUCCUGGUACCAGCAGCUCCCAGGAAAGGCCCCCAAAUGUGUCAUCUAUGGUGAUAGCAACCGACCCUCAGGGGUCCCGGACAGAUUCUCUGGCUCCAGGUCUGGCAGCUCAGCCACCCUGACCAUCACGGGGCUGCAGGCUGAGGACGAGGCCGAUUAUUACUGCUCAGCAUGGGACAAGAGUCUUAAGGGUCCCACAGUGCUGCAGGCCUGUGGGGAAGUGAGACAAAAACCUGCUGUCCCUCUUGACACAGGGCUUCCCUAGCAGACCCCACUCCUC